rnacentral:lncRNA from 1 species
GGCGCUCCACGGCCCUGCUCUGGGCUCGCCUGAGUGCUGGGCUCUGCAGACGCAGGGAUGGGCCAGGCGAGCCCCUCACCACGGAGGUAGCAGGUCCAGAGGAAGCAGCAGAGGCUUCCUGGAGGAGGAUUUGUACCCCUAGGAGGACUAUGUCUUCCUCAUCUUUGUCUUCAGAGGAUAAAUACAAGGCCUGACACAUAACAAGCAUGAGACGGAGUCUCCCUCUGUUGCCCAGUCUGGAGUGCAGUGGUGUGACCUCGUCUCACUGCAGCCUCCACCCCCCAGGUUCAAGCAAUUCUCCUGCUUCAGCCUCCCAAGUAGCUGGG